CGUUGGUCUGCUGGUAAUAUGUUCCACGAAAAGUAAAAUAUGACUUGUAGCAUAGCAAAUCAGCAAUGUCUCUUAAGAGUCUUUCUCUUCCUCGUACAUACAGCAGGUUCUCCAUCAGAAAUUAGUACAACGUUUUAAGCAUACUGGUUUCAACUUCAGUGAGGGAUGCAAACUGUCGUAGUCGAAUACUGCCAUAACAUAGUGGAGUUGCCAAUCAAUCAUUCUGACUCUAUGCAAAACUUCGGUCAUGGUGGUGAUAGAAUUCACAGUCUGGCCCAAUAUUGUCAUGCUCCAGCUAGCUAUGGCCUUCUCUAGAUUAUACAUAGGGGCAUCAUGUAUAAUCAACUUCAAUUUCAACUUCUCAACUUCAAUUUUAAAUUUUAAAUUUUUGUUGUUAUAUUUAAAAGUGUUAUAUUUUAUUUAUUUGAGGUCUUAUAAGUUUGUUUCUCCA
rnacentral:lncRNA from 1 species